GAUGAACGCUGGCGGCGUGCCUAAUACAUGCAAGUCGAGCGAACGGACGAGAAGCUUGCUUCUCUGAUGUUAGCGGCGGACGGGUGAGUAACACGUGGAUAACCUACCUAUAAGACUGGGAUAACUUCGGGAAACCGGAGCUAAUACCGGAUGAUAUUUUGAACCGCAUGGUUCAAAAGUGAAAGACGGUCUUGCUGUCACUUAUAGAUGGAUCCGCGCUGCAUUAGCUAGUUGGUAAGGUAACGGCUUACCAAGGCAACGAUGCAUAGCCGACCUGAGAGGGUGAUCGGCCACACUGGAACUGAGACACGGUCCAGACUCCUACGGGAGGCAGCAGUAGGGAAUCUUCCGCAAUGGGCGAAAGCCUGACGGAGCAACGCCGCGUGAGUGAUGAAGGUCUUCGGAUCGUAAAACUCUGUUAUUAGGGAGAACAUAUGUGUAAGUAACUGUGCACAUCUUGACGGUACCUAAUCAGAAAGCCACGGCUAACUACGU
rnacentral:rRNA from 1 species